AGUGUAAUUGCUGGGGCAUAUGGUAAUACUCCUUAACUUUUUGAGCAACUGCCAGACUGUUUCCAAAGCAGCUGCACCAUUUUACAUUCCCACCAGCAAU
rnacentral:pre_miRNA from 1 species